GCACUGCUGUGUAGUCCCACAAUAGGACGAAACGGUCGUCCAGUGC
rfam:Schistosoma curassoni strain Dakar, Senegal genome assembly, scaffold: SCTD_scaffold0001646